CCUGGCUCAGAACGAACGCUGGCGGCAGGCUUAACACAUGCAAGUCGAACGAUCCCUUCGGGGAUAGUGGCAGACGGGUGAGUAACGCGUGGGAACCUACCUUUCGGUACGGGAUAGCUCCGGGAAACUGGAAUUAAUACCGUAUGCGCCCUUUGGGGGAAAGAUUUAUCGCCGAAAGAUGGGCCCGCGUUGGAUUAGCUAGUUGGUGGGGUAAAGGCCUACCAAGGCGACGAUCCAUAGCUGGUCUGAGAGGAUGAUCAGCCACACUGGGACUGAGACACGGCCCAGACUCC
rnacentral:rRNA from 1 species